rnacentral:rRNA from 1 species
GAUGAACGCUGGCGGCGUGCCUAAUACAUGCAAGUCGAGCGAACAGAUAAGGAGCUUGCUCCUUUGAAGUUAGCGGCGGACGGGUGAGUAACACGUGGGUAACCUACCUAUAAGACUGGGAUAACUUCGGGAAACCGGAGCUAAUACCGGAUAACAUUUAGAACCGCAUGGUCCUAAAGUGAAAGAUGGUUUUGCUAUCACUUAUAGAUGGACCCGCGCCGUAUUAGCUAGUUGGUAAGGUAACGGCUUACCAAGGCGACGAUACGUAGCCGACCUGAGAGGGUGAUCGGCCACACUGGAACUGAGACACGGUCCAGACUCCUACGGGAGGCAGCAGUAGGGAAUCUUCCGCAAUGGGCGAAAGCCUGACGGAGCAACGCCGCGUGAGUGAUGAAGGGUUUCGGCUCGUAAAACUCUGUUAUUAGGGAAGAACAAAUGUGUAAGUAACUGUGCACAUCUUGACGGUACCUAAUCAGAAAGCCACGGCUAUCUACGUGCCAGCAGCCGCGGUAAUACGUAGGUGGCAAGCGUUAUCCGGAAUUAUUGGGCGUAAAGCGCGCGUAGGCGGUUUCUUAAGUCUGAUGUGAAAGCCCACGGCUCAACCGUGGAGGGUCAUUGGAAACUGGGAAACUUGAGUGCAGAAGAGGAAAGUGGAAUUCCAUGUGUAGCGGUGAAAUGCGCAGAGAUAUGGAGGAACACCAGUGGCGAAGGCGACUUUCUGGUCUGUAACUGACGCUGAUGUGCGAAAGCGUGGGGAUCAAACAGGAUUAGAUACCCUGGUAGUCCACGCCGUAAACGAUGAGUGCUAAGUGUUAGGGGGUUUCCGCCCCUUAGUGCUGCAGCUAACGCAUUAAGCACUCCGCCUGGGGAGUACGACCGCAAGGUUGAAACUCAAAGGAAUUGACGGGGACCCGCACAAGCGGUGGAGCAUGUGGUUUAAUUCGAAGCAACGCGAAGAACCUUACCAAAUCUUGACAUCCUUUGAAAACUCUAGAGAUAGAGCCUUCCCCUUCGGGGGACAAAGUGACAGGUGGUGCAUGGUUGUCGUCAGCUCGUGUCGUGAGAUGUUGGGUUAAGUCCCGCAACGAGCGCAACCCUUAAGCUUAGUUGCCAUCAUUAAGUUGGGCACUCUAGGUUGACUGCCGGUGACAAACCGGAGGAAGGUGGGGAUGACGUCAAAUCAUCAUGCCCCUUAUGAUUUGGGCUACACACGUGCUACAAUGGACAAUACAAAGGGCAGCUAAACCGCGAGGUCAUGCAAAUCCCAUAAAGUUGUUCUCAGUUCGGAUUGUAGUCUGCAACUCGACUACAUGAAGCUGGAAUCGCUAGUAAUCGUAGAUCAGCAUGCUACGGUGAAUACGUUCCCGGGUCU